rnacentral:lncRNA from 1 species
CCGCAGUUCCUCUCUCUCUUUUCAACUUGCCUAUAUAUAACCCCACCACGGAGCCCAAUCUCGCCCACACAGUCUCCUCCAUUCCCUCUCUCUCUAAACACAUCCUAUCUUUUUCACGGAGGAGUUACAGAGCCUCUUUCUCUCUCUAUCUAAGAAUUUUGCAAUGGAGGCAAUGAAGAUGAAGAUGUUUGCAGUUGCAUUGAUGCUCAUCACGACGAUGACACUCACCGCCGUCAAAGGCGUCGCCGCCGCAGAUGCUCCUUCACCCAGCCCCACCUCCGACGCCCCAUUCUUUGUACCAACCUUCUUUGCCUCACUUACAGCCCUCGCUUUUGGUUUUGGUCUUCUCCUCUGAAUGCAAUAUUCUCAUGCAUGCUCGCCACUCGCCUUAAUUUCUUUUGUUCGUGUUACAGUAUUUUCCGGUAUCGUCCAAUAAUGUACGAAACAUGUUGCUUUUGAUCUUAUUUAACUUAAUUUUUAUUGUCUUGAAUCUUCUGGUGUAAGAUUUGUAACGUGUGGUGAUUUGCUUUUUUACCAUGGUUCGAGAUGAGGAUGGUAGACAUGUAUCUUUUGACUUGUUUAGUAUUUGAUUUUGAUUUUCUUUAAUUUCUUGUAUGUAUAUUUUAACAAAAUUAUAUCAAGGCCCGUUUGAGCCACGUUAACG